CAGUCGCCGCGGGAAUACGUAGGGUGCAAGCGUUAAUCGGAAUUACUGGGCGUAAAGCGUGCGCAGGCGGUUAUAUAAGUCAGAUGUGAAAUCCCCGGGCUCAACCUGGGAACUGCAUUUGAGACUGUAUGGCUAGAGUGUGUCAGAGGGGGGUAGAAUUCCACGUGUAGCAGUGAAAUGCGUAGAUAUGUGGAGGAAUACCGAUGGCGAAGGCAGCCCCCUAGGAUAACACUGGCGCUCAUGCACGAAAGCGUGGGGAGCAAACAGGAUUAGAUACCCGCGUAGUCCCUGUCUCUUAUAA
rnacentral:rRNA from 1 species